rnacentral:rRNA from 1 species
UACAGAGGUCCCGAGCGUUGUUCGGAUUCACUGGGCGUAAAGGGUGCGUAGGUGGUGUGGCAAGUUUGAUGUGAAAUCUCCGGGCUUAACCCGGAAAAUGCAUUGAAUACUGCCAGGCUGGAGGGUUGGAGGGGGGACUGGAAUUCUCGGUGUAGCAGUGAAAUGCGUAGAUAUCGAGAGGAACACCAGUGGCGAAGGCGAGUCCCUGGACAACACCUGACACUGAGGCACGAAAGCGUGGGGAGCAAACAGG